GCCAGGCCACCCUAUCAUCUGAAGCCCUUGUCAGGGAAUCCUUAGAUUCCUCCAUAGAUUCAAUGGGUCAAGACCUCUAACAGACUCCUCUCUCCACUAUCCCUGGUCACUUCUAUCAAGAACAUCAGCAUAAGCCUUAUGGGCUUCUUCAGGACUGUACCCUGACUAUGAACUACCAAUGCCAUCAAGUUGCAGAUGCAACUAUACUAUCCUGACUUCCCUGGGCAGAUGACCUCACCAAUGUGUCCUGGAACUUUACCUCUCCAGAGACUAACCUCGCCAGGGGAAGACAGAAACAGGCUGGGGGUAUGGAUCUACCUGGUCAUCUUCCCCUAACAUUUACCCCACUGGGAGUAGGGACCAAAAUUCUUUAUGGGAUGCAGAAGGUGGAAA